CCUACGGGAGGCAGCAGUGGGGAAUAUUGCACAAUGGGGGAAACCCUGAUGCAGCGACGCCGCGUGAGUGAGGAAGUAUUUCGGUAUGUAAAGCUCUAUCAGCAGGGAAGAAAAUGACGGUACCUGACUAAGAAGCCCCGGCUAACUACGUGCCAGCAGCCGCGGUAAUACGUAGGGGGCAAGCGUUAUCCGGAUUUACUGGGUGUAAAGGGAGCGUAGACGGCGAAGCAAGUCUGAAGUGAAAGGCCGGGGCUCAACCCCGGGACUGCUUUGGAAACUGUUGAGCUGGAGUGCAGGAGAGGUAAGCGGAAUUCCUAGUGUAGCGGUGAAAUGCGUAGAUAUUAGGAGGAACACCAGUGGCGAAGGCGGCUUACUGGACUGUAACUGACGUUGAGGCUCGAAAGCGUGGGGAGCAAACAGGAUUAGAUACCCCUGUAGUC
rnacentral:rRNA from 1 species